AUACGCCCUGGAUUGGCAGCG
rnacentral:misc_RNA from 1 species